UCUAUUUUGUUUAGUGCUUUAGUCCACAAUCACAUGGAUAUGGUGGUAAAUAAGCAACAUCUUUCAGUUUGAAUACCUCUUCGAGGCUCCUGUUCAGCGAGCGGUGACAGUAGCUUGAAGAUCCUCUUAUCCUUCCUUCUGUCAUCAUUUACGACCUGUUAGCUAACUCCAAAUGCUCAUUGCUUGUUGUUAGAGAUCCAGAGGAUAGGACUGAUUUGGUAAUCACUAUGCUCGGUGAUGCUGUUUCUUCAAUUAUGGAGCUGUGAUGACAAAUUUACCCUUCAGUUGCCUGUCAGUUUAAAUUUGAAACGCAACUUAAAUUGACAAAAGAUUGAAUUUUGAAGUGUUUGCAAGGCUCCAAAGUCUAGGCACAAGCGUCCAAAAGUUAUUCAAUAUAUGUUUCACUUUGAUUGAUGCUUUCCUCGUUCCGCUAUGGAUGCUAUAAAAAUCAAGACCAAUAAUGUCAAUACCAGACCUGUGGGCAAUGAGGAUUCAUCUGUUAAAAUUAAGGUAUUGUUCUUCGCUAGAGCUCGAGAUCUAACCGGUUUAACAGAGGUGCCAUUAGAGGUUUCAUCUGGUGCUACUACAAGUGACUGUUUGGAUAAGCUUGUAUCAAAAUUCCCAGGUUUGCAAGAAAUCCGCAAUUGCAUAGUGGUUGCUCUAAAUGAGGAGUACACAACAGAGUCAGCAGUUGUUAAAGACAAAGAUGAAUUGGCAAUUAUACCUCCCAUUAGUGGAGGCUGAUUUUUCUUGCA